UAUUUUGAUCUGCCUUUAAUUUUGAUUUUGUGUCAAAAUUUAUUUUACACAUUCUAUUUUAUACAAAUUAUAUUCCCUGGUUAUUACGCUUAUCUUUUCAGUUUAAGCAAUUAAUCCAAAAUAACUUUGGAAAACUUCACAGCUUAAAUGCCACAGAGCAGAACUCUCAUAAUGAUUACCAAAGGGCCUUAUAAAACUGCCAACUGGGCGCAUUCUUCGACAAGAACUUCAUCAACAGGUUCCCCACCCAACCGAGAGCACCAGGUUCAGCAAAAGUUAAAUUAUAAGCCGCCAAAUGAUGUCUGUCGCCUAUGCAAACACACAGCCUGCCAUCCAAAAACUUCAACGUCUGGAAUGGGAGGCGUCUGCCAAGCCGGCCCCUUAAAGUGGAGGCACUUAAGAUGCUUAGCGCCAUGGCAAGCGAAAAUAAUGACGCUCAUAAAAACUAACUAAACAGAAAAAUAAAGCAAACAGCAUUAAAGGACGACAACGUGAAAUACAGUUAUAUAGACGGCAACUCAGAACUCAGAGCGAAACGCUCGGGUUUUUGUGUAUAGAGCGGUAGAUGAUGGAAGCCUGUUGGUUGUUUUAAUAUAUCCUGUAGAUGCUGUGCUCUGAGGGGCAUAUGCGAUUAUAACUGCAUUAGAUUACACCUUGGGUUUUUUAGUAUGUUGGUUGGUUGUUAUGGUACAUACCCUGUAUAUGUCACUCCUGAGGGGCAUACGCCUUUAACCACAUUAAAUUUCACCUUAAAUUAC